GUGGCGUAACCGUUGUUUGCACUCAAUCAAAGUUAUUUACGUAGCCUUUAACACCACCGACCCACUAUUCCCACUUCGUCUCAUUCUAUACACCAUUUCCUUCUUCAAGGGUUACGAAUCUUGACCUAUAAACAAGGGUAUUCGACUCUGUAAAAUUCAUCAGUUUUUACUUCUCAAUCAUUGUUAAUCAUAUCCCGAUGGAGCUGUUCCUGUUCCGAAAUGAAGAAUGAUUACUUUUUGGCAAACACCAAUAUACAUCUUUCUGACAUUAUUGGCAAACUAAAAGCAAUCAGGCACAUGUUGAAUGAUGCCGCACACGACAAAGAACGUGUUAUGGAAACUAUUAGAAUUCAAAGGGGAACGGGGAAGAAGCACCUGAGCUGAAAGAAGAAGGCUCAGAUUUGCACUAGGAACAGUACUGGUGCCAAGUUACGAGAAAGAGCAAGCGUUUUCUGAAGAAUUUAACAGGAAACAUCAAGUGAGAAAUCGUCUGUCUAAGUGAGCAUCAAGAAAUGUUUUGGUCUGACUAUGUAAUUAAGUUGCAUUACUCUUUGUUGUAUGACUGUAUCAACCAUUAAAUCACUGAAUUCUCAAAUAUAUAAUUGGGUCUGUUAUUAUUCGUCAGAUCUGUUACUGGUGAU